rnacentral:lncRNA from 1 species
CAUGGACCUUAGGAGAGCUAAACUGCUCAGCUACCUCUAUUUGCUAUGCGAUCUCGUCACUUCCAUUGGACAGCCACCUAUAUACCACUAGAGAAAAAGAGAUGAUGCAGAGGAAAAUUAAAGUUCACAGCUGUCAUCAACUUCCAGUCAUAUGAAUGAGGUCUUCUUGGAAACCCAGCUCCAGUCAAGUUUCAAGUUGAAUGCAGCUCCAUGUAUGGCCUGAGAAUUAACCAUUUAAGGCAGAACUACCCAGCUGAUGCAUGAAUGAGUUCUCGACCUACAAAAUCGUAGGGAAUAAUAUAUAAUAGUUUGAACACUCUAAGUUGUGGGGAAUUUUGCCAUAGAAAUCUGAUACAUA